rnacentral:rRNA from 1 species
UCGAGCGGACAGAUGGGAGCUUGCUCCCUGAUGUUAGCGGCGGACGGGUGAGUAACACGUGGGUAACCUGCCUGUAAGACUGGGAUAACUCCGGGAAACCGGGGCUAAUACCGGAUGCUUGUUUGAACCGCAUGGUUCAAACAUAAAAGGUGGCUUCGGCUACCACUUACAGAUGGACCCGCGGCGCAUUAGCUAGUUGGUGAGGUAAYGGCUCACCAAGGCAACGAUGCGUAGCCGACCUGAGAGGGUGAUCGGCCACACUGGGACUGAGACACGGCCCAGACUCCUACGGGAGGCAGCAGUAGGGAAUCUUCCGCAAUGGACRAAAGUCUGACGGAGCAACGCCGCGUGAGUGAUGAAGGUUUUCGGAUCGUAAAGCUCUGUUGUUAGGGAAGAACAAGUACCGUUCGAAUAGGGCGGYACCUUGACGGUACCUAACCAGAAAGCCACGGCUAACUACGUGCCAG